ncrna:unclassified sequences DTF2800 RNA
CAGCUGUAUAUUGCACCGAUUGAUCAACGAUGGCUCAACGAUGUACGGCAGAAAAAUCAAAUACUACCGGCUGACUAUUGAGCGGAAGGCUGCAGAUCGGAAUGAAGGAAUCUUCAUGAAGACUGUGGUUAGUUUUUUAUGCUUUUUGUCGCCUUACAA